UAGUUUGGUAUAUAAAGUCAUAAUUCUGAGACAUUUUCAUACAUCUGUUAAGUUUUCUGUCAAAAUCUUUGUUAACUGAUGACGCGGUGCUUGACAAUGAUUGAGCAUCACGUGUCAAUUUGGGCCCACGUGGAUAUUUAAAAUUUAAAAAUUAAAAAAAAAAAACUUUUCUCUUCAUCUUCUUGAUGCUGAUUUAUGAUCCCUCCCCCUCCCUUUUCACCUCCCCGACCCAUCUCCUCCCUCUCCUCUACCAUCUUCACCUCAUUUCCCUUCUCUCUCCCUACAUCAACCUACACCCAACCCUAAUCCCCAAAAUUUUGUUCCCCACAAAUUUUAUUCCUAUUUUUGGGCAUUUCUUGGAUCGAGUUGUCGCGAAAGGACUUGAUUUCGGGCGGUCAGAGUUUGGAAUCGGAGGCAGGGCAGGGGGAUUUGAAAAGGGUGUUAAGCCAAGUUUCAAGAAUCUUGACGACGGAGUCGGUGAGGACGUUGGAGUUGUUGAUGGAGCAGGAGUUCUGGGUGUUGGAGGGGGUGAAAUAAGUGGCGGUGAAUUCGCAGGGGAAUUUGUUGGCAAACAUGCCAACUCUUAGGCCAGUGCAGCAGGUCUUGACAAAAUUGGAAGAGGAGACAAGAUGUGAAGUCUAGAUUAUUGUUUGGCUUCCCUUGUCAAAUGUUAUAAAUUGUACCAUCAUGCUCUAGUUAGAUUUAUGGUUAAAAUGCUACUUUGGGAUAUGGCUGCUGGAAAUAUCAUCUCAAGAGCUUAACUUCUCUCGUCAAAAGUUUAUUCAUUCAUAUGCAUUUCAUGCCAUUAUUUCCAAUACAUUAUGUCUAGUGGUUCUAUCAUGUCAAAACUUCUCACUGCUUUCACAUGAGUUGGGCACACACUUUUAAGAUAGCCCACAUGGGCCAUAUGACAGCUUUUUCCCAAAAAUACGUUUUCAACCCUAGAUCUUUCCAGAUUGCUUUUGCACAUGACAUGUGGCUUUUCUUGUCCCAUUUCUUAUCUGAAACUCAACCCUCUUUAUAAAAACCAAUCUAGGGUCCAUUUGGUUUUUGGGGGUUUGAGAUUGGAAAUUUUUUGAAAGCUUUAUUUUUCAUCUUCAUCUCAAAUCUCCUAGGGGGCGUUUGUUUGACCGGAUUAGGGGGAACUGGAUUAGACUAGACUGUAGUUCCUUGUUUGGUCUGGACAAGGAUUAGGUUUAAUGGGAUUAAAGAGGACUCGGCUCGACUGAACGUUUCGCUAAACGUUCUUAAGGAGACCCCUCGAUUUCAAGUGGACUGCUAGUCCCGUUCUCUCCCCCUCCGAUGAUCCCUCGUCGUCACCCUUCUCCUUCCCCCUCUCCCUUCUGAUUUGCACCUUCGCCCACUCCCUUGGGCCUUCAUUAUCCCACCCAAAAACCAAAACCCAGACCUCAAACAAAAACUGAAAAACAAUCCACUGAUUCCCUUCCUUUCUUCUUCGUUCAAUUCACUCUCUUUCUCAGCAAAAUCGUCAUGGUUGCAAUCACCAGACGACCAUCACCAGAAGCUCGCCAUCAAUCUCCGCAUUCGUACACGACCCAGACGCAAGUCGGGACCGAAAGCAUACCAAAUGCCUAAGUACCAAUUGGGGUUUUCGUCGAUGGUGGGGAAUAAGCUGAGAAACUUAUGAAAUUUGGUAUUUGAAUUUUGUGAUCUGUGAGAAACUUGUAAAAUUUGGUCCUUAUGUUUUGUGAUUCAUGAGAAGCGGAGGUGGGGUUUGACGGGAAAAGAGGUAGAGGGAGAAUGAAGAGAGGUUUGACGGGAUGGAGAGGUAGGGUGAAAAAUGGUUACAGAGAUUGUAGAAGUAAGAAGAAUAGGAUUCUAAAAAAAAAAGGAAAAAGAUAAAGUAAUAGUAAAAUAUUAAUUAUAUAUAUUAAUUUAAUAUAAAAAUAAUAUAAUAUUGUAGUCCUGCUUCUUAGUCCGACGCUGCACCAAACACUUCACUAAAUUAUUCCAGCUUAGUCUAGUCUAAGCCAGUCUAAUUUAGUCCCUGAAGUUAGUCCAGUCUGAGAUAGUCCGAUGCAACAAACGCACCAUAGGAGUAUUAAGCAUAUUUUAUGGUUGUGGGUGGUGGUCUCAGUGUCAUAAGGUGAAGAGUUCAGGAGGAGUUGUCAUCUUGUGAAGACUAGAGACAACACCUUUUUCAGUGCCAUAAGGUGAAGAGCUCAGGAGAAGCUGCCACUUCAUGAAGACUGAAGGAAUCUGUCUCGUGUAAGGCAAUGUUGCACAAAGGAUAUUCUGCCUAGUACCCAAUUUCACAUGAACAGCGAACGACGGCGAGAGAGAUGUUGUAGACAGGAAGAGAACUGUGAGUUGCGAGUGGGUUUUGAAGGAAGUUUGCGAUCAGGUUUUAUUGGGACGUGUGUGUGAGCUGGUUAACGCAGGGGGAGAUGCUGCAAACGAGAGGAAAGGAAGAGGUGAUGCACUGUAUAUGGCAUUCACCCUCGUCCCCAGAAACGGCCGCAUAUUUGUUCAUUUUUUAAUUUUUUUUAAUUUCCAUGUGAGCCCUUAAUGACACGUGGCACCCAAUCAUUGUUUAUAUAGGUGCCACGUUACCAGUUAACGACUGACUCAACAACCAGCUUAACAGAUGUAGGAAACUAAGAAGAAGUGUGCUAUUUCAUUACUUGAAUCAUAUUUUUUAGCCCACAUGAUAUGACGGUUGAUGGUUAAAUAUAAGGAAUUCAAUCAUCAACCAUCAUAUCAUGUGGUUUACAAAACAUGAUAAAAAAAAAAUGGUCUAUAUAGCAUA